AUCACUCCACCUCUCUAAGCUUUAAACUUGUUAGACAUGGAACCCAAGUUCACAGUGAAUUGUGACCGAAAUGAGUUGCUCAAAACCAGAACUGGUACUCAUUUGCCAGAGAGCCCAAGAGUACCAAUGGAGUUUCUGUCAAGAUCAUGGAGUGCUUCUGCUCUUGAUGUCUCCAAAGCCCUUGCACCUCCACUACCACCUUCUUCUUACAUACCUUCCAAGCCUCCUAUUAUACCCUCUUCUAUCACCAACUCCAUUUCCGAAGAAACUUGUUCUGCUAAGUCGGAGGAGUUCUCUUUUGCUUCCUCCGCCACUUCACAGCUCGUCCUUGACCGCAUUAUGUCACAGUCAACUAGAGAGGAUGUAUCUCCAUUAACGUCUGGGAGACUGUCUCACAGCAGUGAACCUUUGAACGGUGGUGCUUCGUUAACUGGAACGGACAGUCCACCAAUCUCUCCUUCUGACGAGUUUGACGAUGUUGUCAAGUUUUUUCGGGCAAACAACUCCAUUCAUCCCUUAUUCAAUGGUGGACGAGCCAUGAGUGGUGCUACAGGCAAUGCCACUCCUUGCUCCGGACCUAAAACAGUAGGAAGAUGGUUGAAAGACAGAAGAGAAAAGAAGAAAGAAGAAAACAGAACCCAUAAUGCUCAACUUCAUGCUUCAGUUUCUGUUGCUGCCGUAGCAGCUGCAGUUGCAGCUGUCACUGCCGCAACGGCAGCCACAUCUGCAGCUACCAAGGAUGAGAAGAUGGCCAUGUCCGUUGCUUCUGCGGCCACUUUAGUUGCUGCUCAGUGUGUAGAGGCCGCUGAAGCAAUGGGAGCUGAGAGAGAUCACCUUGCUUCUGUGGUUAGCUCUGCCGUCAAUGUCCGCUCUCAUGAUGAUAUUUCAACACUUACAGCUGCAGCUGCCACAGCUCUACGUGGGGCAGCAACCCUGAAAGCAAGAGCAUUGAAGGAGGUAUGGAAUAUUAACGCAGUGACUCCAUUAGAGAGAGGAGCAGGUAUAGGAAUAUGUGGUAAAAGCAACAACAGUAAUUCUAGCACCAGUGACAGUGGGGAGAUUAUGAAUGGUGACAAUUUUUUGGGUGCAUGCAACCAAGAGCUCCUUGCUAGAGGCACUGCAUUACUUAAACGGACACGCAAAGGUGAUCUUCACUGGAAAAUAGUUUCAGUUUAUAUACAUCGAACAGGCGAGGUAAUGCUGAAAAUGAAGAGCAGACACGUUGCAGGAACUAUCACCAAAAAGAAAAAGAAUGUUGUUUUGGAUGUGUGCACAAAUUUAGCAGCAUGGCCAGGAAGGCAUCUGGUUGAUGAGGGUGAAGAAAGGAGGUAUUUUGGAUUGAAGACAGAAGCAAGGGGAGUCGUGGAGUUUGAAUGCAGAAAUCAAAGAGAAUAUGAUAUUUGGACUCAAGGGGUUUCUAGACUUCUUUCCAUAGUUGCACGCAGACAAAACCUAAAUGGGGUUUGAGCUGAACACAUUGGCAACAGGCUCUGUUUCUACUGAUUCAUUGUUCAAUCUAAUAUAUCAAGUCUCUUUGUUGCUUGCAUUCAUGGAUAGUGUUUCAUUUUCUUUUAAAUUUUCUUUGGAGAGGACAUUGUCAUGUUAACUGAUAAGGAUUAUAGACUAUAGACCAUAGACACGUAAGUGCUUAUAUUCACUUUGUUGUGAUAGCUUUGUUUAAAUAUAUUUAAUUGCUCUAAAUUAGUUA